rnacentral:rRNA from 1 species
AUUGAACGCUGGCGGCAGGCCUAACACAUGCAAGUCGAGCGGAGCGGCGGACGGGUGAGUAAUGCCUAGGAAUCUGCCUGGUAGUGGGGGAUAACGUCAGGAAAAGGGCGCUAAUACCGCAUACUCUCAGAUGAGCCUAGGUCGGAUUAGUUAGUUGGUGGGGUAACGGCUCACCUAGGCGACGAUCCCUAGCUGGUAUGAGAGGAGGACCAGCCACACGGGAACUGAGACACGGUCCAGACUCCUACGUGAGGCAGCAGUGGGGAAUAUUGCACCAUGGGCGCAAGCCUGAUGCAGCCAUGCCGCGUGUAUGAAGAAGGCCUUCGGGUUGUAAAGUACUUUCAGCGAGGAGGCGUUACUCGCAGAAGAAGCACCGGCUAACUCCGUGCCAGCAGCCGCGGUAAUUC